GACGAACGCUGGCGGCGUGCUUAACACAUGCAAGUCGAACGGAGUGGCGAACGGGUGAGUAACACGUGGGUGACCUGCCCUGCACUUCGGGAUAAGCCUGGGAAAAUGGGUCUAAUACCGGAUAGUGUGGGAUGGGACCGCGGCCUAUCCGCUUGGCGGGGGGGUAAGGGCCUACCAAGGCGGCGACGGGUAGCCGGCCUGGGAGGGUGGACGGCCACCUGGGGACUGCGACACGGCGCAGACUCCUACGGUGGGCAGCAGUGGGGAAUAUUUCACAAGGGGCGGAAGCCUGAUGAAGCGACGCCGCGUGGGGGAUGACGGCCUUCGGGUUGGAAACUCCUUUCACCAUCGACGCGGUAGAUGGAGAAGAAGCACCGGCUAACUACGUGCCAGCAGCCGCGGUAAUAC
rnacentral:rRNA from 1 species